GCUAAAAUACCAGUUCUCAUCCAUUCACUGAAGUUAAGCAAUGUCAAGCAUGUACAGUACCUAGAUGGGUGACUAGUUGGGAAUACCAUAUGCUGUCAG